UCUUCGUUUUACCUUAAUCAAUUCUAAAUCUUUACAUUCUCUUUGGUUUUGCUGUUUGUAGGGUAAUUUCAUCUCGACAUACUUUCUUGGCUGACCCAACUGGAAAUCUUUGUUCAGCUUCGACUCUUUAUGAAGGUGGUAAAUGGUAAUGGUACUAGUGAGUAGUGAUUGUCAGGAUGUUGGGAAUGUCUGCUAGCUCCAUUUUUAUCAACGACUACAUUAUUGCGUCUGCCUAAAGUGGGAUGACAAAGCAUGGAUUAUGAAAGCUGUAAAUUAGUGAUAGUGACAUUCUAUGAAUAAAUUACUAGAAUUUGUGUUUUUUAUAUGGAUAUUCU